rnacentral:tRNA from 2 species
GGGGUGUUCAGCUAGUAGGCAAGCGCAGGGUACAGGGAGGAAUAUUAGAGAGACUCUAAUACACUAUUUAUAGUGCUGCAACCAAUCGGCAUCAUGGGUUCGAUUCCCAUACACUCCA